UUUAAACCUGAUCACAUGUGUUUCUAUUUAAGACUAGUACGUGCAAAUCAGCACAAUAGACAUUCAGAUGUUUAUCAUGAUCCGAGCUGCCAGUAUUAUAUGGGUUUUAAUGAUAUGUCCUGGAGGUUUUUCUCAGAGUAAUCGUGUUAAACAGAAUCCUCCUGAUCUCUUUGGCAACCAUCAACAAUCUGUUAAAAUCCAGUGUGAGCACAGUGUACCAAGUUAUAAUCAGAUCAACUGGUACAGACAAGACCAGGGACUGACCCUUAUUGGAUAUCAAAUAGGAACAUCAUCAACACAUAUUGAAAAUGAUUUUAAGGCUAAAGUGGAGAUUGUUGCUGUUGGAAGCAAAAACGGCUCUUUGACCAUCAAAAAUCUUUUAUCCAAUGACAGUGCAGUGUACUUCUGUGCUGCUUAUUACACAGUGCUGCAUAUCUGCUUUAUUCAGUACAAAAACCUCUGUGUAAAUAUUCUCAGUAUCUCAUUAACACCUGCUCCUGUGGCCUGGAAUUGACACAUUGCCAGUGUUUUUAACAGAAAA